AGAUUAUUGGGGGAGGAUAGCCAUGGCGAGUCGAAUGGGAUGCCUAAAAUUCCCAUGGCAAACUGCUCAGUAACACCUUUUCAACUUGCCCUAUGGAGAAAAAUAACCUCGGGAAACUGAGGAUAAUGAUUCAUAGUUGAAAAGGCUUGGAAAAGUUUUUCAAUGAAAUGGAUAAGAAAAAUGGUUCUUAUCUGCCAUAGGAUAGGAUCGUGGUCGAUUAUGGUUGUUGGUGAGGUAACGGCUCACCAAGCCGAUAAUCGAUAGGGGCCGUGAGAGCGGGAGCCCCGAGAUGGGUACUGAGACAACGACCCAGGCCUUACGAGGCGCAGCAGGCGCGAAACCUCCGCAAUACACGAAAGUGUGACGGGGUUACCCAAAGUGUUCAUUUCUGAACUGUGGUAGGUGAGUAAUGUCCCCUACUAGAAAGGAGAGGGCAAGGCUGGUGCCAGCCGCCGCGGUAAAACCAGCUCUUCAAGUGGUCGGGAUAAUUAUUGGGCUUAAAGUGUCCGUAGCCGGUUUAGUAAGUUCUUGGUAAAAUCGGGUAGCUUAACUAUCCGCGUGCUAGGAAUACUGCUAUACUAGAGGGCGGGAGAGGUCUGAGGUACUACAGGGGUAGGGGUGAAAUCUUAUAAUCCUUGUAGGACCACCAGUGGCGAAGGCGUCAGACUGGAACGCGCCUGACGGUGAGGGACGAAAGCCAGGGGAGCGAACCGGAUUAGAUACCCGGGUAGUCCUGGCCGUAAACGAUGCAUACUAGGUGAUGGCACGGCCAUGAGCCGUGUCGGUGCCGUAGGGAAACCGUUAAGUGUGCCGCCUGGGAAGUACGGUCGCAAGGCUAAAACUCAAAUGA
rnacentral:rRNA from 1 species